UACGUAGGGUGCAAGCGUUAAUCGGAAUUACUGGGCGUAAAGCGUGCGCAGGCGGUUUUGUAAGUCUGUUGUGAAAUCCCCGGGCUCAACCUGGGAAUGGCAAUGGAGACUGCAAGGCUAGAGUUUGGCAGAGGGGGGUAGAAUUCCACGUGUAGCAGUGAAAUGCGUAGAUAUGCGGAGGAACACCGAUGGCGAAGGCAAUCCCCUGGACCUGUACUGACGCUCAUGCACGAAAGCGUGGGGAGCAAACAGG
rnacentral:rRNA from 1 species